GGGUUGUGAGGUUAAGCGACUAAGCGUACACGGUGGAUGCCCUGGCAGUCAGAGGCGAUGAAGGACGUGCUAAUCUGCGAAAAGCGUCGGUAAGGUGAUAUGAACCGUUACAGCCGGCGAUGUCCGAAUGGGGAAACCCAGUGCAAUUCGUUGCACUAUCGUUAACUGAAUACAUAGGUUAACGAGGCGAACCGGGGGAACUGAAACAUCUAAGUACCCCGAGGAAAAGAAAUCAACCGAGAUUCCCCCAGUAGCGGCGAGCGAACGGGGAGCAGCCCAGAGUCUGAAUCAGCUUGUGUGUUAGUGGAACGGUCUGGAAAGUCCGACGGUACAGGGUGAUAGUCCCGUACACCAAAAUGCACAGGUUGUGAACUCGAAGAGUAGGGCGGGACACGUGGUAUCCUGUCUGAAUAUGGGGGGACCAUCCUCCAAGGCUAAAUACUCCUGACUGACCGAUAGUGAACCAGUACCGUGAGGGAAAGGCGAAAAGAACCCCGGCGAGGGGAGUGAAAAAGAACCUGAAACCGUGUACGUACAAGCAGUGGGAGCACCUUCGGGUGUGACUGCGUACCUUUUGUAUAAUGGGUCAGCGACUUAUAUUCUGUAGCAAGGUUAACCGUAUAGGGGAGCCGCAGGGAAACCGAGUCUUAACUGGGCGUUAAGUUGCAGGGUAUAGACCCGAAACCCGGUGAUCUAGCCAUGGGCAGGUUGAAGGUUGGGUAACACUAACUGGAGGACCGAACCGACUAAUGUUGAAAAAUUAGCGGAUGACUUGUGGCUGGGGGUGAAAGGCCAAUCAAACCGGGAGAUAGCUGGUUCUCCCCGAAAGCUAUUUAGGUAGCGCCUCGUGAAUUCAUCUUCGGGGGUAGAGCACUGUUUCGGCUAGGGGGUCAUCCCGACUUACCAACCCGAUGCAAACUACGAAUACCGAAGAAUGUUAUCACGGGAGACACACGGCGGGUGCUAACGUCCGUCGUGAAGAGGGAAACAACCCAGACCGCCAGCUAAGGUCCCAAAGUCAUGGUUAAGUGGGAAACGAUGUGGGAAGGCACAGACAGCCAGGAUGUUGGCUUAGAAGCAGCCAUCAUUUAAAGAAAGCGUAAUAGCUCACUGGUCGAGUCGGCCUGCGCGGAAGAUGUAACGGGGCUAAACCAUGCACCGAAGCUGCGGCAGCGACACUAUGUGUUGUUGGGUAGGGGAGCGUUCUGUAAGCCUGCGAAGGUGACCUGUGAGGGUUGCUGGAGGUAUCAGAAGUGCGAAUGCUGACAUAAGUAACGAUAAAGCGGGUGAAAAGCCCGCUCGCCGGAAGACCAAGGGUUCCUGUCCAACGUUAAUCGGGGCAGGGUGAGUCGACCCCUAAGGCGAGGCCGAAAGGCGUAGUCGAUGGGAAACAGGUUAAUAUUCCUGUACUUGGUGUUACUGCGAAGGGGGGACGGAGAAGGCUAUGUUAGCCGGGCGACGGUUGUCCCGGUUUAAGCAUGUAGGCUGGUUGUCCAGGCAAAUCCGGAUAAUCAAGGCUGAGGUGUGAUGACGAGGCACUACGGUGCUGAAGUAACAAAUGCCCUGCUUCCAGGAAAAGCCUCUAAGCAUCAGGUAACAUCAAAUCGUACCCCAAACCGACACAGGUGGUCAGGUAGAGAAUACCAAGGCGCUUGAGAGAACUCGGGUGAAGGAACUAGGCAAAAUGGUGCCGUAACUUCGGGAGAAGGCACGCUGGUGUGUAGGUGAAGUCCCUGCGGAUGGAGCUGAGACCAGUCGAAGAUACCAGCUGGCUGCAACUGUUUAUUAAAAACACAGCACUGUGCAAACACGAAAGUGGACGUAUACGGUGUGACGCCUGCCCGGUGCCGGAAGGUUAAUUGAUGGGGUUAUCCGUAAGGAGAAGCUCUUGAUCGAAGCCCCGGUAAACGGCGGCCGUAACUAUAACGGUCCUAAGGUAGCGAAAUUCCUUGUCGGGUAAGUUCCGACCUGCACGAAUGGCGUAAUGAUGGCCAGGCUGUCUCCACCCGAGACUCAGUGAAAUUGAACUCGCUGUGAAGAUGCAGUGUACCCGCGGCAAGACGGAAAGACCCCGUGAACCUUUACUAUAGCUUGACACUGAACAUUGAGCCUUGAUGUGUAGGAUAGGUGGGAGGCUUUGAAGCGUGGACGCCAGUCUGCGUGGAGCCAACCUUGAAAUACCACCCUUUAAUGUUUGAUGUUCUAACGUUGGCCCCUUACCGGGGUUGCGGACAGUGUCUGGUGGGUAGUUUGACUGGGGCGGUCUCCUCCCAAAGCGUAACGGAGGAGCACGAAGGUUAGCUAAUCCUGGUCGGACAUCAGGAGGUUAGUGCAAUGGCAUAAGCUAGCUUGACUGCGAGCGUGACGGCGCGAGCAGGUGCGAAAGCAGGUCAUAGUGAUCCGGUGGUUCUGAAUGGAAGGGCCAUCGCUCAACGGAUAAAAGGUACUCCGGGGAUAACAGGCUGAUACCGCCCAAGAGUUCAUAUCGACGGCGGUGUUUGGCACCUCGAUGUCGGCUCAUCACAUCCUGGGGCUGAAGUAGGUCCCAAGGGUAUGGCUGUUCGCCAUUUAAAGUGGUACGCGAGCUGGGUUUAGAACGUCGUGAGACAGUUCGGUCCCUAUCUGCCGUGGGCGCUGGAGAAUUGAGGGGGGCUGCUCCUAGUACGAGAGGACCGGAGUGGACGCAUCACUGGUGUUCGGGUUGUCAUGCCAAUGGCACUGCCCGGUAGCUAAAUGCGGAAGAGAUAAGUGCUGAAAGCAUCUAAGCACGAAACUUGCCCCGAGAUGAGUUCUCCCUGAGACUUUAAGUCUCCUGAAGGAACGGUAAGGACGAUGUCGUUGAUAGGCCGGGUGUGUAAGCGCAGCGAUGCGUUGAGCUAACCGGUACUAAUGAACCGUGAGGC
rnacentral:rRNA from 1 species